rnacentral:lncRNA from 1 species
CCGACGAUCAUGUGAAUCACAUGUUGUGGCUCUUCCUACUCGUUCUGUCUAUUCAAAUCCCUAUUUUUGAAGUGGUUCUUGGCCUGAUCACUUAAAAAUUCCCGAAGGUGCCCCUCGUUGUACAAUCGGGCUACUUCCUCGCUUAGUUGCCUACAAUAUUCUAUUUUUGUGAACUUGGGUGCCAUGAUACUUGCAUAUUUUGUUUUGAUUCCUCUAGGACGGAUCGAUCUGCAGAGGUCGAGGCCACCUGGUAUCUUUGAUACGUCCAUCGGUCGACACUAUGGCGAAAACAUUUAUGUUGAAGUUAUAUUCUAACAAUCGAGUUGCUUAUUUGGACUCGGUAUCUCUAUCAAAACCACUCUUGCUCAUGAGUCCUCGAGAGCUCUGUCCUUGAUCAUCCUUCUAUCGUUCCGAACUGGGUUGUGUCCAGGCUCGUUAUUUCUCUGAUCCUGCCAUAUGGCUGAUAUCGAUCUCUGUUCGACCGUGGAUCCCGACCAAUGUCCCUUUUAACUCUAUUGACGGGCCUUCUCGGAUAAAUGAACUCGGAAGGAGCCUCUAACUGGUUGUCUUUGCAUAAUCUUUGACUAGUAUCAAUUAUAGACAUCGACCCAAGGGAGAGCAUGAUAUUUGAUCAAAUUGUGAUUCAAUUGUUGUAAAGCUAUGGAACUUUGUUUAUUGAGACCUUGUUUGAAGGCUUGAACAACCCAAUCGUUAGUGACCGACGGCAAAUCCAUUCUCUCAGUUUGGAACCGAGAUACGAAUUCCCUAAGCAUCUUGUUAUCUCUCUGCCUUACCUUGAAUAGGUUCGACUUUCUUGUUGCAGCCUUAAUGGCUCUGUCUUGCGCCUUUACAAAGGAAUCUAUAAGCAUAACAAAUGAAUCAAUAGAAUUAGGCGGUAAAUUAUGGUACCGUAUCAUAGAGUCUCCUCGAACUUCUUAAGCAAUAUGGAUUCAAUCAUGUGUACGAUGUGAUGUGUUCAUUCGGAUCGGUUGUCUCGUUAUACUUUGAAAUCUUGGGCAUACUAGACUUCUUGGGAUUGGCUUUGGAGCACCCUUGGGGGUGGGGAGGAAGGGUUUUUGUACAAAUAUUUUAAAAUCUAACCCUUUAAAUAUCGAGGGUGCCCCUGGGAUUUGGUCGAUCCUGGAAUCAUAAGUUUCGACUUUCUUAUCAUUUUCCUCGAUCUAUUUUUCCUAGUCUCGAUUUGCUUUGUCAAUUCCUUGAGCAUCUUUACAAUAGAAGAAUUAAUCUAUGAUACUCCUCCAUUCGAUCUCUUUGGAACCAAUUUGGCUCUAUGAACAACUUCUUGUGAUGGCUCGAGCUCGAUCCUACUCGGUGCCCGAUUCUGAUUUGGAGUUGUGCUAUUGCAGCUUGUUGAGUUGCAGUAUUUUGAUUAUCAUUCGAAGGAUAUUCGAGGCUAAUAUAGCCUUCUUCACGGAUCUAUACGUUCUGGUUGGAUGUUCGAGCAUCUCUGCGAACACUAUCUUCAGGAUCGAUGCCCAAAUUGCCAUUAAUAGCGAUAUGGGAGCUGACGUCGAUUGGGUCCAUGGGCGGAGCUCCAUCGAGGUUGAUUGGAGGUACUCCAUUUCCUGGGGCGACUACAUUUUCGUUCUCACCGUGAAGACUAAGCCCAUUGUCUAUGUGUGUGGGGGCGCUACUUGAGAGCUUGACAUGGUGAUCUUGGAAUCAAAGACACUUUAAAGAAAGUGUAAGAUAGUGUGUGUUACGAAAAUUAUACCAUUCAAUCACUAUUGCCCUCAGCCUCACGGUGAGCGCCAAACUGUUUACCCUUAAAAUUGGAUAGCAAUUAAACUUAUAAGUGAUUUUAAGGAUAUGUAAUUUCACUUGGCACAAACUGAUAAAUAUGAGAAUUAAUGCUAGAAAUUGACAGUACAAUAAAGCAAACCAAUGUGAUGCACAAUUGUCUCCCUUGAGUUAGAUCGCCCUCAAACAACAAAGUAUGCAAAAAAGGUAUGAACUGAAUAACAGAGCUUAAGAGAAAAAAUAUAGUAUAUUGUUUGUUUAUGCGUGAGUAUGACGAUUACAAAAUGAUUAUGACCCUCUAUAUAUAGUAGAAGAAUCGUAUUAUGGUAUAAUUCUAAUUACAUUAGGAAAAUCCAUGAUUGUCUAAAGGUCCGGUCUUGACUUGAUACGUGCCGAGAUUUCCACCAUGAUCUUUGUCCGAUCACGGACAUCUCUGCUUUCUGUUAUUUGACCCUGCAUGCUUCCUUGGAUCUCGCUCGAUCUCUUUCUUGAUUCGGUCUUGAUUAAGGUGGAUCUCCAUCUUGAUCAACCAUUGUUCCACGAACUUACUAAUUCAUACCGUGACCCGAUAUAAUUGAGGCGGAGCCUUAAUCUGUCAUCACGAUUUUGGUUAGUCAUAUAAAAUUAGGCAAGCUCGAUUUUAACCGUAUAUGGUGAUAGAAAUAGGUAAUAGUGGCCUCGCAUGUAGUUUUUUUUCUCCAUAUCUAAGUGGUUUGGCAUCCUCUAAAUUACCACCUCUAGCUCUGACCCUCUUUCCUUUUAUGUUCUUAAUUAUAGUAGUAUAGCACCCCGUCCCCCCUCCCCCUUAGUGACAUGGAACCAAAUACCACUAAAAGGGAUGUUUACACCGGUAGCACGGGUAUAAAAAAUUGGUAAUAUGGCACCAGGAUCUCCAAUGCAUCCCUUUCCCUUGUAAAAUAGAACACGACACUAAAGAUGGGCUCCAACGAAUAGGAGCCUGCUCAAGGGCUUAAGUUAGUGUAAUACCCAUAAUAGAAAACAAGUUAAAUUGAAAAAGGGAGAAAGCGACACGAACACGUUAAAUUAAAUAUUUUAUUAAUUAUAUAAAUGAGCGUUGAUCAAAAUAGAAAAGUAAAUUGAUGAAUAGGAGACAUGAUAGUAGCAUAAUUAGUUAUUUAUUAAGUAUAAUUUUAGCUCAAAAUGAUGAGCAUCAAAUCUACAUGUAAACAAAUGCUGGAAACGAAGGCCCUGUCUGCCUAGUCCAUCCAUUGGUUGAAUUUGUUUUGCUCCAUAAGUCCAUCCAAUUUCUCUCCCAAUCCGUUGCUACAAACUCGGCGUAGGAAAUGGAGGCGUCGUUCGUAUCCAGAGCAAAAACUGCCUUCCAUUCUGCCGCGGCUAAAGCGGAGAAAGUUUUCACUGACAUUAAAAAAUCGGAUCUCAUCAACGAUCCAGGUUCAUCCAUCUCACUUCUUCUUUUCUUUUUUCAAAUACUAUGACAAAUGCUUUUUCAUUACUGUUUUAAUUUUUUUGUCGCUCUGUCCGACAUUCAAAUUUGAACAGAUUUCGAUAGCCAAUCGCCGGCGACAGCAACAAGUGAGAUUCCAGAUGAUAAGGACGAGUCGGAGGUAAAUUUUAUCUUCAUUUAUUCUAAUUAUCAUCACUCUGAUUUUUCAAUAUUUUUCUGUUGAAUCAUAUGAUCGGGAGGUUUUUUUCCUCAAAUUGUAUGAUUCAUGUUUUGCUUGAUGAAGAACAUGAUAAGGAGAGAAAAAAGAGAAUGUGCAAAUCUCGAUUUUAACCUACUUUUUAAUUCAUUACUCAUGUUAUCAAUUAGAAGUUCAAAAGAAUUACAGGUCAACUGGCUAAUUUCAACGUUAAUCGAUCAACUAUGCCUUGAUAUGCAAUUAGUUGGAAGCGGCUAUAUGAUUCCUCAAUACUGUUCGCUUCAGUUCCAUAUUAAAAGAUCUAUCAUAUUUAAACUAUUUUUAAGCUGCCCUUGCGGAUUUAACUGGCUAAUUUCAAAUGCUUCAAUUUUCACUGUUUCUCUUUUCCACAAGGAAUAUAGUAGCACAACUUGGUGUCGAUAUCUUUAAUUUCUUAAUGCAGCUCAUACUGUUAUGUUCUAUAUUUCUUUAACUGGAAUUUUAGCUGUUUGUUUCAUUGGAUAUACAUCUAAGAGUAUAUUGAGCUGUUAUAAAUAAUCUUAAGGAUGCCUAAUUUCCAGGAAGGGAAGACUUCAUGGCGGAGACCGCCACCAAUAAAGGCAAAGCAGGACUGGCAUGAGAGGUUUAAGAACAUAAGAAUAGGCAAAAAAGGAACUGAGGGUACUACUGACAAAGCUGAAAGUCCACGAAUGGCGUAUGCAAUUUUUGAUGAAAAUAUUUGCUUCAUGAGUGAGAGGGAAUUACCUAAUUCAAAGGUGAGCUAUCUCACUUAUUCUACAGCGCAAGAUUCUUAAUGUACAUACGUUUUGUCUUUGUUAUUUUUUGAGCUGCUUUUCUUUUACGCUGGUUAUUUCUCCUAUAAAUUCCACCUUUUGACAUGCCACAGUAGUUGUUUGUUAGCGAUUCUAUCCGCGUGCAAAAACCUUAUCGGUGCUAUUUUAAGGCUAAAGCUUAUUCUUUUUGUAAGUGAAAAGUUGAUGCUGUUGUCAAACCUAUACUAUACUUGGGUAUCAUCUACUUACUGAGCGUUUUUAAAACUUUAAACAUAGACUAGAUGUUUCUUUUGUAUGUUCGAAUCUAAUUUUCUUCAUUAUUAGAGUCGAUGAAUUAUGUAAAUGUGCAUAUAGUUCUUUCCUAUAGGAAAUGCUUAGUUGGAGAGCAAAGCUUCUUCUGCAACUUUUGAAGUUCUAUCAAAGGAAAGAAUCUAGGUUUCCCUAAUGCCUCCUUGCUGCUUUCAAAGGCUACACUUGCUUCCUUCCUUCAUAAGCUAAUAAGAGAUUCUAUUAUUCUACACUGACCCGCCAUCCCGACCAGUGAAUCAUUAAGAUUCCUUUUUCAAUAGAAUAGCGGGAUAUGUCAUUUUUAUGUCUCCUUUACCUGAAAUAUGGACUUUUUAAUUUUGUUUUUUUCUAAUGUUAUGUGUUCCUUUAUUUUCUUAAGGACUCUGAAUCAGGUUCGACAAUGGAAGAGUCAAACCUUGGGGACAGUGACGUUAUUCCUCCAGCAGCUGUCAUGAAGCAACUAGCUGUAGCUGUGGAGUAAGAUAUUUGUCUAUCUGUAAAUCUGGAAAUUUCUAUCACUUCAAUUUUAGUUGGGGUUCUCUCUGAAUUUUCACAUCUAAUUGGCACUUAUGCGAAAUGUUUGAUUUUACAUUUUUCAGUUCCAUCAUGCAAGUGAAUUCUCUUGCAUAUCCUUGAAGUAUUUAAUAACACCUAGUCUGUAAAAAAGAAUGUUAAUCACUUAUGUAUAUGGUUGCCUUUUUCUUAAAAUUGGUGAUGCAAUAAUUUCCUUUCUUUUUUUUUUUUUUUUUUCCUGUUUUCCCCUAUUGUCUGUUUCCCUAGGGCUGGAAAGAGGUGUAUUACAAUGAAAGACUUCCUAGCUUCGUCCAGAGGUUCUUCACCCAUCAUGGAGAGGGCUAGCUUAAGCUUGUCUGCAGUGAAGUCUUUAGUGCUACGUGAAAAAGAAGACAAGUUUUCUGGCGAAUUUGGUGCUGAUGACAAAGUCUUGUCUCGUAUCAAUUCAUUGCUAGACGCAGGUAGAUGCCAGUUUCCUCCAUUAUGUUGUGGAAUAUCUUUGUAGUAAAUAUAGUAGUAAUUUCUAUUUCUAGCCAUUUGGAUUGCAGGUAGAUGCCAGUUUCCUCAAUUAUGUGGUGGAAUAUCUUUGUAGUUAAUAUAGUAGUAAUUUCUCUAGCCAUUUGGAUUACCCUCUGUGAUUUUCACUUCAAUUGCAAUAUCUGCAAGAUGCUUGUAGAAGGACAUUUUCCUGGAAGCAAGGUUUAUUCUGAUACUGAAACAUCCCCAAAUGCUUCAUCUUUGCCUAAGGAUAUUCAUGGAGCUCCUCCUGAAAGUUUUAUUGUUAAGCUUGCUGAAGUAAUUGGACGUAUGAAAUCACUGCGGAAAACGGCAUUAUUAUGGUGCAAAAUUGUUGCUGAAGUAAGUAGACUAUGAAAAUAGUUCACAUUCAGUUUUCUAAGCAGCUAUGUUAGGGAUUCAUGUUGUCCUAGCAGAUUUCUCAAUCACCUACCUCUGCUUGUUGUCAUUGAUUACAUCGCACAUCAGCUUUUUCUUAUAUGAAUAUGCAUUGAGCUAUCUGCCCUGCUGUUAAGGAGUUUCUGAAGAAUAAUAUAGAAGUGUCACUUUACACCCCUGAUAGAUAGCUGCAGCUAUACCUUAAUGCUAUACUAGUUGGUUCUCUUGAGUGUAGUAAACUUGCCAAAAGUCAAAGUUUAUUCAUCUGCAACGAUCCUUGAACCAGCAAGGCUAGUAGGGACUAGAUGUUCACGUUCUAAUGCUUCAAUUGGGUACUGUAAUGCAUCAUAUAUAUCUCUCUCUUUUCUGUAUGUAGAUUUAAGCAUAACUAUUUGAUGUUUACCAUGGUUAGAAGUAGUGUGUCUUGAAUUAGUUUCACUUUAUGCUUAUUUUAUUUUCUUAAUGGCGAGGAUGGUGGUGGAGGUCAUUUGUUUUAGUAACUGAUAACCAAUUUUUAGCUAGCAGUUCCCUACUUAUAACUACGAGUGCGCAAAGGCUUGUUUGAAAUCGCAACCGGUUGACCUCUCUGGUCCACUCCAGUUUUAAAAUGCUAAGACGGCAAUCUGAUGAAUGGUAGAGUCCAAACCCACCAGAAAGGCCUUCGACCUCUUUCAAAUGCUUUUUUUCAUUAACUCCAGGAAAAAAAAAACUAAGUGCAUUUGGAUAAGACACAAAAUUAGGAGUCAUAUUUCUUGAAGUGGAAAAAAAAAAUAGUCAAUUCAGAUUCUGCUUUUUAUCCUUAUUUAAUGGUCUUUGACUUGGUUGCUAGAAAAUUUGCAAAAUAUUCCACCUGAAGCUGAUAUAGCUUUAAUAGUUAAGAGUACAAAUCAAUUUGAAUUUCAUUUGCAUUCUCAUAUUGUGACACACUGACAUAAGUGAUAAGUCUAUAUCCUUGUUUGAAAGUUUUUGCAAAUUGAAUCUCUUCAUACUCUUCUCUUCUCUUCUCUUCCCAUUUCUCUAUUUUCCCCUCUUCUUUUCCGUUUUUUUUUUUGUUAAGAGUGAAAGAGCUCACUUACUCUCAUUACCAUUUUAUGGAGUCUGUGGAAAACCCCCUCCAGAUUUUAGCAGAGUCCACUAGUGCAUUAGCUCACUGUCCACAUUCGUUUAAGCUGCACUAAUGUGUUAUAUCUACACGGGUAGAUAAUAAUCUCACAUUCAGUUUAUUGUAAGAUAGUGGAGAUUUUGACAGAAUAUCAUCUUCUUUACUAUUUAGACAUCAAGUUAUUCUUUAGAUCAUUUUCCUAGUUUAGUUGAUGUGCUAUGAAUCUUCUGUAAACGGUCUAACUGAGUACAACAUCUUUAAUCCUUUUUGCAUGUAGUUGAGGAGGCUGUGGUCUGAAGGACAAUAUAUCCCUGGCAUUCCUCCAGAUCAAAUUCCGAACCUAAAUUUGUGUCUUCUAUAUCAACAGUUCCAGGUUAUUAACCGUUGCAUUUCCAGAAAAAAUCGACGCAUUGCAGCCACUGAAUCAUUGGAUUCAGUUUUGAGGCUAGCAGGUUCAAAUGCUGAUGUUCUUGUUUCUGAGGGCACUCUUCCUGCAACUCCCGUCUUGUACGCUAAAGUUAGCACAGGAGAAUUAAUUCUUCGGUUAGGAGUGGACACGCGAUCUGAUUUGACAAUGUUGGAAACGGGUGAACCUAUAUAUACGCCAGUGAUGCAGGUUUGUGGACAGGAGCAGAUCUUAUGAUAAUAAUUGGAUAGUUUCCUCUUCAAUUAUUAAUUGCUUAUGACCAUGACUAUAUAUGUAGGAAGAACCUUUGCUAACAGAAGAUCUAAUCAAAGAAACAGAGGAGCUGGUGCUCCGAACAGGGAGGUAAUAUGCCUUUAGGCUGUUUUAAGAUAAACCAGCAUGUGUUAAUGAAUGGCGGCCAAUCAUUAAUAUUAGCAGUUUAGCACUUGUUCUUCAAAAAUGUUUACUUUAUCUCUAUGUUUCUUGCAUUAAAAGUUGCUUAGGAAUGACUCAGUAGUUGCGGGUCUUCUUUUGUUGGAUAAGUGGUCACUAAUCAUCAAUUUAUCGAAACAAAAAGAAUGUCAGUAAUCAUGAACUUAGUUCAAACUGUCUUGUAUUUUCUUAUUUACUAGCUAUUACAAAUACAUCGAGGAACUUUCGAGUUUUCUCUAUAUCUAGAAAGUAUGAUUGUCUGAUUUUUUUUGUUCCUUAUCAUUUUCAUUCUUUCAUACCUUUUAUUGUUCAAUGCUUGCCCAAAUUCCUCAAAAACUCCAACUUUUAGUACAAGUAGGAUGAUCUUGAUCUUUACAUCUGAAUUGCUUGUUUCUUCUAUUAUCAGUCUUGGAGCCGGGUGCUCUCAACUCCUGUCUGAUAUGCAGGCUUUCAAGGUGAAGUUUCUGUAACACAAGCUGUAAUUAGAUUUUUCUCAAGUACCUUCUCAAGCUGGCAAUUUGGCAGUGUCUGAUUGAAAUUAACAUGCUUUUUUCCUGAACUCUGUUAGGCAGCAAAUCCUGGGUGUAUAUUAGAAGAUUUCAUAAGAUGGCAUUCUCCUCCUGAUUGGAUGGAAUGUGAUACAAAUGAUGAAAUCAAUGAAACCCUUGAUGCUAAUGACUCAUUGUCUGGAAGAGGCCAACUGAGUACUCGAAUGCAGAAAGAAGGUUCUACUCUAAUUAACUCAAAUUUCAUACCACAAUCCCCACCUUCUCUUGUUUUCUGAAAUCACAUUUCAAUUGUCGUACUUCAAAUACUUUUCGUUGUCAUUCAUGAGACUUGCUGGUUUUAAUGUCUGCUUUAGCCAGUAGGAUGUAAAUUUACCCUCAAUUUGAGCUGCUGAGGAAAAAGUGGUCAUCUAUCUCUAUCUGCUAGCAGCCAUUGUUAAUCAGUCUUCAGGUUUCAUAUGCUCAGUGUAUUAGGAGGUGAUACAGGGAGCUUACUUGUUUUCGAAUAACAGUGCUCUCUCAAUGGAUUGCUUUAUUUAGAGAUUGUGCUAGCACAAGCAACAUGAUCAUGACAGUUAUUUCGAGGUUUUGAUGGUGGAUAUCUUAUCCUUGAAAUGCCACUUAUUGGUUUUGCUUAAAGCUUUAUGAUAAAUUUGAUGUUAUUCUACUGGAGUCCAAUGAUUGAUUGAUUCAUGGAAAUAGAUAAAUGGAGAAAGUAGAAACUGAAACAAGGUUAUUAUUUGCUUUUAUUUGUAUCUGCAGUAGGGCAUAGGCUAUUAUUAAUGAAGGAAGCUGCUAAAAUACUAGUGCGCCUGUUGUGGAUACAAAGGAACAAUCUCACAGUAUUUAGCAUAAAUGAGGAUUCGAACCCCAAUUUGAAGUAGGAUUUGGAUGAAACUUGUAUAUUUUGACUCGUUUGAAAUGGGUGAUUGGGAUUUGUGACUUUUGUCGGUUCCGGGAGGCGGGCCAAAACCUUCCAAAAUGAUAGUAUUCUCCCUUUGUCCAUUCAAGUAGACUAGCAAGUCAGGUAGGUCCUGGUUGAAAGAUUCUUGAGUAUGUCCAGCAGUUCUAGGUAUGAAGAGGGGUCUAUUCACUUACUAAUAAUGCUAAGCAAGUUAUAGAAGAAUCAUUUAAACUUGUUGGUGAAAGUGGUACCUGCACUAAGUUUAGAUGUCCUUUUAAGAUUUCUCAUUGUUUGCAUUAUGAUUGUUGAUAAUGUACAAAUGUCUUUGAGCAUACUCCAAGCAGAACAGGAAGUGUGCAAUACUCUGUCUGACAAGUUCUAUGGAUUGAUGUUUUUAGGCAAUUUGUGGCGCGAACUAUGGGAAACUGCAAAGCCAGUACCAGCUGUUAGACAAACCCCUCUAUUUGAUGAGGAUUUGGCUGUGUAAGUUUUUAAGUUCCAGGUUAGCGUAGAAGAUCUAAACAAUUUGUUUUGCUUUUUUCUGAAAGGAACUCUAUGAUGCUUUCUGUAGGGAAAGUAUUCUGGAUAAUUUAGAGGACAUUUCACCCCAUGAGCUUUUCAAGCAGCUAUUUAUAUCUCUUGUAAGCCCUCUUACGCAUGUAUGAAAUGUGUCUGGUCUUAAUUUUUAUCUGUCUUCUUCUGUUACUCUCCGGGGGUCUAUUUGGAAACAGCCUCUCUACCCCAGGGUUAGGGGUAAGGUCUGCGUACACACUACCCUCCCCAGACCUCACUAAGUGGGAUUAUACUGGGUGGUUGUUGUUGUUGUUGUUUCUUCUGGUACUCUCAUUCCUCGAACUCUCAAGAGGAAGGAAUUCAGCCUGUCAUUGGUAACAGAAAUCAGAAUGAAUAACCCCAGAAUCAAAUGGAUGCCAAAAUCAUUUUUUUGGGACUGGCAGACACUCUCUUGUGUAGUAUUUCAGUCCAUGUUGAGCACGGAUUUUCUAUUAUUAUUUCAAGACUUGGUAUCUUUUGUUUUUAACAUAGAUUUGAAUUUAUAUCAGUCUGUCACGUGGAAAUUUCAUCUUAGAAACUCAAAUAUACUGUUCCGAAUUUUCCAUUUUGUGCAUUCAUUUUGCAUCAAGAGGAAAAAGUUGAUGUAAUUUGUGCGAGACACAAUUUCUUUUCCUAUAUUCCAUUUACUUUUAGUAGCCAGAUCGAUUAUAUAGUUAUAAAUUGCAGUUCAUUUAGUGAUGCUUUGGAACCUUCCAAGUCAAAAUAUCCUCUGUCAUCAUGUCCCCUUCCCUCUCAUAUUUCCUUUGCAUAGCAAAUAAAGUGUUAUUCUGGCUUGGCUAUGACAUUUUCAGCUUCCAAAUCACAAAGGCUUGAUAGUCUUAUGUUAUUUUCUAUUUAAAUUUCAGUUGGGAUCAGGAUUUGUAACUGCUGAGGCCACCCUUUCCAACAACUCAAACUUAUCAAAGCUGUUCUGUGAUUGUAAAGAGUACGUCAUUGUCACCUGUCAAAGCAGCAGCUGGGUUGAGAAAGUUGAUGAGUUGUGCCAGGUACGUCUUAAUCUGACUUGAUGGAGGUGAAUAAGCUUGAACUGUGUCCCAUCGUGUUGGAUACAAGCACAACUCUUGCUGCUGAGAUACGCUUGUGUAUUUGACAUCCUCUCAUGGAUUGUCUUGUAGAAGCUGACUGUGUCCCAUGGUGUUGGAUACAAGCACAACUCUUGCUGCUGAGAUGCGCUUGUGUAUUUGACAUCCUCUCAUGGAUACAAGCACAACUCUUGCUGCUGAGAUGCGCUUGUGUAUCUGACAUCCUCUCAUGGAUUGUCUUGUAGAAGAUUAGUAACUACGCCCCUAGAGGUUUGGUUCUAUGAUAAGAGCACAGUGCAUGAUGUGGAUUAGGCACACGUCAUUAAUACUAUCGCAGAUGAGAACUUGGUGUUUUAAGCUGGAGAACAGUAGAGCUAACCCAUUUAUCUUCCAGGUCUCGAACCAUGCACCAAAUGGCCCUUGGAAUUCCUCAGUUAUUAACCAAAAAAGGACAAACAACUUUUGAGGGAUGCAAAGUAUUUUAGGAAUCCUUUUAAACCUAUUGAUUUCCUAUAAUCCUGGUUGCCAGUCCCACUCCGGGGGAGGGGAAGCGGGGUUCUGUUGCUUGUUAGACAUUUCUUUCUGCAAUUUUAUUGGAUUUAUAAUGCAGGAUGCUGUUACAGAGAUUAUAUAAUCACAGAUUAAUGUCUGAUUAAUAAGUUAUGCCAUGAAGAAUUACAUUUUUUUUAUUAGGUCUACGAAACUGUAGAGUCAAUGGUACUUAGUCCAGAUGAAGUCAUAAGGAUCACAUUUCAACCUGAAGAACCUACAGCUGCACCUGCCAACGAAUUAAAAAGUCGAUUUAAAAGGCUUAGUCUCAUUUUUGGUAACAAGGAUAAACUAUCACCCCAAGGGCAGAAGAACCAGGAGGAGAGUCCAUUACGGCAACCAUUCUCAUCGAUAUUUUCAAAGAAACCUCCGAAGCCCGGCAGUUCAUCUCCAGCUGAUAAACCUGUUACUCCCGUUGAAAAUGACUGGACAAUUGUAUAAGAAUUGUUUCUGUUCAUUCUCCAACUGUAAAUUCAUGUUACUAGUUUAGGUAUACAAACCCGAUGAUAUCCAACAUUGUGAGUUUCAGCUGACUCUUGUGACGAAACAGUUAAUGGAAAAAUUUAUCUAAGAUUCUGUUGGAGGUAUUUUCUGUGACUAACAAGUGUUUAUUUUGGAUCAUUAAGUUUCUUUUUCAAUUUCUUUUAUUAUAUAUAACUGUCCACAUUCNNNNNNNNNNNNNNNNNNNNNNNNNNNNNNNNNNNNNNNNNNNNNNNNNNNNNNNNNNNNNNNNNNNNNNNNNNUUUAAAAUUGUAGAAAUAUGACUUGUUUCUCUUCUUGCUAAUGUUACUAUAUCUUUUUGACUUCAUAUUCUUAUCUUUGAAAUAAUAAUAUCAUUGAAACAAGAAAGAAGAGCAAUAUUCGAACUUGAAUCUUUUGUUUUCUAAUUUAAAUAAUGUAAAAACGGAAUGUAAGUAUCUUUUGUUUUCAAAUUUAAAUAAUGUAAAAACGGAAUGUAAGUAGGCGAGGGGGCGGAUGUAGACAAAUAAAUUAGAUUGUGGAUCCACCAUGUGGCGGUUUUAAUUCCC